rnacentral:rRNA from 1 species
CCUUGACAAUGCGGGAAACCGUGAUCAGGGGACUCCAAGUGCCAGGAGUAAGAUCCUGUGCUUUUCUUCUCUCUUCAAAGGAUUAGGAAUAAGAGGUGGGUAAGGACGGUGCCAGCCGCCGCGGUAAUACCGGCGCCUCGAGUGGUAGUCGAUUUUAUUGGGCCUAAAACGUCCGUCGCCGGUCUGGUGCAUUCGUGGGUAAAUCAACCCGCUCAACGGGUUGAAUUCUGCGAGCACGGCCAGACUAGGGACCGGGAGAGGUGUGGGGUACGCUCGGGGUAGGGGUAAAAUCCUGUCAUCCCGAGCGGACCACCUGUUGCGAAGGCGCCACACUAGAACGGAUCCGACGGUCAGGGACGAAGCCUAGGGGCACGAACCGGAUUAGAUACCCCCGUAGU